GAGGGGCAGAGAGAGAGGGAGACACAGAAUCUGAAGCAGGCUCCAGGCUCUGAGCUGUCAGCACAGAGCCCGAUGCGGGGCUCGAACCCACGAACUGCGAGAUCAUGAC